rnacentral:rRNA from 1 species
CCCAGACUCCUACGGGAGGCAGCAGUGGGGAAUAUUGCACAAUGGGGGAAACCCUGAUGCAGCGACGCCGCGUGGGUGACGAAGUAUUUCGGUAUGUAAAGCCCUAUCAGCAGGGAAGAAGAUGACAGUACCUGACUAAGAAGCCCCGGCUAACUACGUGCCAGCAGCCGCGGUAAUACGUAGGGGGCAAGCGUUAUCCGGAUUUACUGGGUGUAAAGGGAGCGUAGGCGGCGAUGCAAGUCAGAAGUGAAAGCCCGGGGCUCAACUCCGGGACUGCUUUUGAAACUGUGUUGCUAGAUUGCAGGAGAGGUAAGUGGAAUUCCUAGUGUAGCGGUGAAAUGCGUAGAUAUUAGGAGGAACACCAGUGGCGAAGGCGGCUUACUGGACUGUAAAUGACGCUGAGGCUCGAAAGCGUGGGGAGCAAACAGGAUUAGAUACCCUAGUAA